rnacentral:tRNA from 1 species
CGGGGUGUGGCGCAGUCUGGAUAGCGUCCGGUCUUGGGGACUGGAGGUCGCGGGUUCGAAUCCCGUCAUCCCGA